rnacentral:rRNA from 1 species
GACGAACGCUGGCGGCGUGCUUAACACAUGCAAGUCGAACGGAAAGGCCCGGCUUUUGUUGCUUUCUCGAUUGGCGAACGGGUGUGUGACACGUGAGUAACCUGCCCUUAUCUUUGUGGUAUCUUCUCGAAACUGGGGCGCUUACCCCGUAUAAUCUCCUGCUGCGUGUUGUUGGUUGGUGAGUGUCGGCUGUUGUGGAUGGACUCGCUGCUUAUCAGCUUGUUUGUGGGGUAGUGGCUUACCACGGUUUUGACGGGUAGCCGGCCUGAGAGGGUGAACGGCGACCUUGGGCCUGAGAUAGGGAGCAGAAUCCUAUGGGAGGCAGUAGGGGGGAGUAUUGCACAAUGGGCGGACGCCUGAUACAGAAACGCUGCGUGCGGGAUGACGGCCUACGGGUUGUAAACAGCUUUCGAAGGAGAUGAAGACGGAGUGACGGUAACGGGUAAAGAAGCACCGGCUAACUACGUG